AACGAACGCUGGCGGCAUGCCUAACACAUGCAAGUCGAACGAGACCUUCGGAUCUAGUGGCGCACGGGUGCGUAACGCGUGGGAACCUGCCCUUAGGUUCGGAAUAACUCCCCGAAAGGGGUGCUAAUACCGGAUAAUGUAUUCGGACAAAAGAUUUAUCGCCUUUGGAUGGGCCCGCGUUGGAUUAGCUAGUUGGUAGGGUAAAAGCCUACCAAGGCGACGAUCCAUAGCUGGUCUGAGGGGCUGAUCAGCCACACUGGGACUGAGACACGUCCCAGACUCCGACGGGAGGCAGCAGUGGGGAAUAUUGGACAAUGGGCGAAAGCCUGAUCCAGCAGUGCCGCGUGAGUGAUGAAGGCCUUAGGGUUGUAAAGCUCUUUUACCCGGGAUGAUAAUGACAGUACCGGGAGAAUAAGCUCCGGCUAACUCCGG
rnacentral:rRNA from 1 species